rnacentral:rRNA from 1 species
UACGUAGGGGGCUAGCGUUGUCCGGAUUUAUUGGGCGUAACGAGCGUGUAGGCGGCCAGGUAGGUCCGUUGUGAAAACUCGAGGCUCAACCUCGAGACGUCGGCGGAAACCCUCUGGCUAGAGUCCGGAAGAGGAGAGUGGAAUUCCUGGUGUAGCGGUGAAAUGCGCAGAUAUCAGGAAGAACACCCGUGGCGAAGGCGGCUCUCUGGGACGGUACUGACGCUGAGGUGCGAAAGCGUGGGGAGCGAACAGG